GCCCAGGUGGCGGAAUUGGUAGACGCACUACCUUGAGGUGGUAGCGACGAAAGUCGUGGGGGUUCGAGUCCCCCCUUGGGCACCA
rnacentral:tRNA from 4 species